CUGUUUUGAGCACUGAUGAAGUUCACUGUGAACCAGGCUGCAGAGGCUUACUUUGGUGGAGGAACAAAGUUAACAGUUUUAGAAAACGAUCUUAAUAUCACUGUACCGAUAGUGAAAGUGCUUCAACCUUCACCAAAGGAGUGUCGAAACCAGAAAGACGAUGCCAAGAAGAAGACCAUUGUGUGUGUGGCCAGUGGAUUCUACCCGGACCAUGUUAGUGUAUUCUGGGACAUCGACGGGGAUAAUGUCACCGCUGGUGUGGCGACUGACGAAGCUGCCCUGCGGGAAGGCAACAAUUACACGAUCACCAGCAGGCUGAGGGUCUCUGCCAAAGACUGGUUCACACCCACCAAAACAUUCACCUGCACUGUCAGCUUCUUCAAUGGGACGCAUACUGUACUUUAUUCAGAAUCAAUCGAAGGGAAAGAAGCUAAAGGAGAUCUCAUGACAAGAGAAAAAUAUCUGAAGAUCACACAGAGCGCCAAACUCUCCUACACUGUUUUCAUCAUCAAGAGCAGCAUCUACGGAGCCUUCGUAGCGUUUCUGGUGUGGAAGCUUCAGAGUUCAGCUGGAAAGCAGUACAACUGAGAGCUGAUCGCGUGAAUCCUACGAGGUCAAAAGUGUCGGCUUCUGUAAAUAAGUGCUUAAAACAUUGAAGUUAUAAAUCCACAACUUUGUAUGUUGAAGGGUAUUUUGCAUUCUGCUAAAAUAGAUUAACAGUUCUAUGCAUAUUCUUGUUAAAACUGGCAUGCAAAUACACAUUUUUAUAUAUACUUAUGAUAAUAUCUUUGUGGUUGUGAAUCACUUGUUUGCUUAAUUUUCUUCUAAUAAAAGUACUUCAGAGGA